rnacentral:misc_RNA from 1 species
AAAUCUCAACCUUCUCGGUUUCUUCUGGACACCGGAGGAGGCUUGGACUUUGGAGGCCUUUGCUGGCUCUUUCGAGAGCCAGCUCCUCUUAAAUGAAUUAGUGGGGUCCUCUUUGCCGAUCCUUGACGUGUGAUAAGAUGUUUCCAUGUCUUGGUUUCUGGCUCUGUCGCUUUUGGGACUCGCUUCUAACCGUCUCAACCUUGCAUCGAGACAACGUUUGAGGGCGUCUCCCUUCUCGGGAAACCCUCUCAACCUCACGAAC